AUUUACUUAGUAUAAUUAAGUACUUAUGACUUCCAAUCAUAAAGUUUGAUAUCUCAAAGUAAAUA
rnacentral:tRNA from 1 species